CCCAGAUGUGGUGGCGCAUGCCUGUAAUCCCAAUGGCUCAGGAGGCUGAGUCAGGAGGAUCACAAGGGCAAAGCCAUCCUCAGCAAAAGUGAGGUGCUAAGCAACUCAGUGAGACCCUGUCUCUA
rnacentral:sRNA from 1 species